CCCUUAGAUGUUCUGGGCUGCACGCGUGUUACAAUCGGGAGUACAACAAGAUUGCAAAUCCUAGUGGAUGAGUGGUUCUUCGAAAUUUUCUGAAGACUGGGAUAGUUUAUUGAAAUUAUUCAACUCGAACGAGGAAUUCCUUGUAAUUGUAAUUCAUUAUAUUGUAAUGAAUACGUCCCUGCCCUUUGUACACACCGCCCGUCGCUCCUACCGAUUGAACGAUCCGGUGAAUUAUUUGGAGUAGCUCUGGAAGUUGCAGAACUUCCUAUGUCACGAAAUUUUGUAAACCUUAUCGUUUAGAGGAAGGAAAAGUCGUAACA
rnacentral:rRNA from 1 species